rnacentral:rRNA from 1 species
AUUCGGCUUAGAGUUUGAUCAUGGCUCAGGACGAACGCUGGCGGCGUGCUUAACACAUGCAAGUCGAGCGGGCGUAGCAAUACGUCAGCGGCGGACGGGUGAGUAACGCGUGAGCAAUCUGCCUCUAUCAGCGGGAUAACACUUAGAAAUAGGUGCUAAUACCGCAUAAGACCACAGUGUUGCAUGACACAGGGGUAAAAGAUCCGUCGGAUAGAGAUGAGCUCGCGUCCCAUUAGCUAGUUGGUAGGGUAACGGCCUACCAAGGCGACGAUGGGUAGCCGACCUGAGAGGGUGAUCGGCCACAUUGGAACUGAGAAACGGUCCAAACUCCUACGGGAGGCAGCAGUGGGGAAUAUUGGGCAAUGGGCGCAAGCCUGACCCAGCAACGCCGCGUGAAGGAUGAAGGUUUUCGGAUUGUAAACUUCUGUCGCGAGGGACGAAGAAUGACGGUACCUCGUAAGAAAGCCCCGGCUAACUACGUGCCAGCAGCCGCGGUAAUACGUAGGGGGCAAGCGUUGUCCGGAAUGACUGGGCGUAAAGGGAGUGUAGGCGGUCUGUUAAGUUAGAUGUGAAAUCCCACGGCUCAACCGUGGAACUGCAUCUAAAACUGGUGGACUGGAGUGCAGGAGAGGUGAGUGGAAUUCCUAGUGUAGCGGUGGAAUGCGUAGAUAUUAGGAGGAACACCAGAGGCGAAGGCGACUCACUGGACUGUAACUGACGCUGAGGCUCGAAAGCGUGGGGAGCAAACAGGAUUAAGCCGAAUU